ACAUGCCAUUUUUACUAAAUACACUUACAGUGAGUAUGCUCCUGGCUUUUGUGGUUUGCUCCUCCCGAGUCAGAUUUCCUUUAGCUAGUUUCAAGUGCCAGUUUCCAGGAGUUAGGAGAUAUCUCUGUUUCCAUUGCUAGGGUUUAUUUAGUCGACGGAAAGAGGACCCUGCUUUACCCACACAGGUUCCUCUGCAGUACAAUGAGCUGAAGCUGGCCCUGGAGAAGGAGAAAGCUCGCUGUGCAGAGCUAGAGGAAGCCCUUCAGAAGACCCGCAUCGAGCUCCGGUCCGCCCGGGAGGAAGCUGCCCACCGCAAAGCAACGGACCACCCACACCCAUCCACGCCAGCCACCGCGAGGCAGCAGAUCGCCAUGUCCGCCAUCGUGCGGUCGCCAGAGCACCAGCCCAGUGCCAUGAGCCUGCUGGCCCCGCCAUCCAGCCGCAGAAAGGAGUCUUCAACUCCAGAGGAAUUUAGUCGGCGUCUUAAGGAACGCAUGCACCACAAUAUUCCUCACCGAUUCAACGUAGGACUGAACAUGCGAGCCACAAAGUGUGCUGUGUGUCUGGAUACCGUGCACUUUGGACGCCAGGCAU
rnacentral:sRNA from 1 species